rnacentral:rRNA from 1 species
CCUACGGGCGGCAGCAGUGGGGAAUAUUGCGCAAUGGGCGAAAGCCUGACGCAGCGACGCCGCGUGAGGGAUGAAGGUCUUCGGAUCGUAAACCUCUGUCAGCAGGGAAGAACGGUCACUGUGCUAAUCAGCAGUGAAUUGACGGUACCUGCAAAGGAAGCACCGGCUAACUCCGUGCCAGCAGCCGCGGUAAUACGGAGGGUGCGAGCGGUAAUCGGCAUUACUGGGCGUAAAGCGCUCGUAGGCGGUAUGUCAAGUCAAGGGUGAAAUCCCCGCGCUCAACGUGGGAACUGCCUUUGAAACUGGCAGACUGGAGUGUGUGAGAGGAUAGUGGAAUUCCAGGUGUAGGAGUGAAAUCCGUAGAUAUCUGGAGGAACAUCAGUGGCGAAGGCGACUAUCUGGCACAUCACUGACGCUGAGGAGCGAAAGCGUGGGUAGCAAACAGGAUUAGAUACCCCAGUAGUC